GGUCGGGCUCCGCGCAGUGGGAGCAUGUGAACCGCGUCAGAUCCGGAAGGAAGCAGCGCUAAGCAUUUCCUCCCAGGUGCGCGGGCAGCCCGGCCCGU
rnacentral:SRP_RNA from 1 species